rnacentral:lncRNA from 1 species
GACUUGAUCUCCUUCCUGUUGUGGACGCCCUUGCUGCUCCUCCUCAACACCUUGGCCUUUCCCAAGUCCUUGCUGGUCCUCUCCAAGGUACCUAAUCAUCAAAACAUCCAUGGCAAAGCAUUGUAUGUAUAGAAGUGAUCGGUCCAUUCAUUGUAUGUAUAGAAGUGAUUUCCUCAUCAUCCUCCUCCUCUUGAAUUGGAGUCGUCCUCGACUCGAUCUCAUCUUCGUCACCCAUAUAUGGCUUCAAAUCUGAAAUGUUAAAGGUGGAACUAACCCGAAAAUCUGGAGGCAACUCAGGUGGUAAUCCAGGGGGUAUUUCAGAGGGAAACACAUCCAUAUACUCUUGCAAAAGGUUAGCAAUAGCCGGUGGCAAAGCAAUAGAUGUAUCAUCAAUGGAAUAGAAAACAUUUUUGCACACUAAGGCAUAGCAAAGUCCAACAGAGGCAUGUAACUCAUCAAGAUCAGAUUUAGUGGCUAGCAAAGUAGGAGUUUUUAACUUAAUAGGUUGCUGAUUUUCAGAGUUCAAAACACCUUUUUGCUUAGCAUUAAUCUUUUUCUCAUGUUCUAAGUGGACCAUUUCAGUGGGAGUCAUAGGAAGCAACACAAUUUUCUUUCCCUUAUGCAUAAAAGUAUAUUUAUUAGAUCUACCAUGGUGAAUAGCAUCAGUAUCAAACUCCCAAGGACGUCCCAGUAAAAGAGAGCAAGCAUCCAUACUCACCACAUCGAAAUCAGCAAAGUCAUGGUAAGAGCCAAUAGAAAAAUGCACCCUUGCUGUUUUUGUUACCUUGAACUUACCGCUGUUGUUAAACCAUUGAAUGUGAUAAGGGUGGGGAUGCUCUCGUGUGGUCAAGCCAAGCUUCUUGACCAACUCAACGUUCACCAAGUUGUUGCAGCUACCACCGUCAAUGAUGGUAUGUACACGGCAGUCCUUGACAAUGAGGAACAUGUUGAAGAGGUUGUAGCACUGUCUGUUGUCGUCGUCACUAGCCGUGGCACUCAAAGCUCGUUGCACAAUCAAGGCCUUAUAGGUCUCGGUCGCUGUUGUACCAAGAACCUCUUCAUCACCAUCAUAAGUCUCUGCAAUGUUAGCUCCAACAGUAUCUUCAUCUUCAACAUCAGAAGCACUAACAUACCCACCAUCACCAGUAGCAAUGUAUGCUCGUUUGCUGGGGCAAUCUCGCUGAAUAUGGCCAAGUCCCUGGCAGCGGUGGCACUUGAUGUCGGAGGAGCGGCCUGUGGAAGAGGUGGUCGUAGCAGGUUUUGCUGCAACACCCGAAGGCACCAAGGACUUGCCGUUGUCGUGUCCCUGUGAUGCCGAAGGUGCGGUGCUGCGUGUGCCACUGGUGGAGGAAGAUGUGGACGUCCGUACGCCCGAAGAGGAUGACACCUUGGCUGGCACCAGUGGCUGGUGUGGCGCGAAAGUGCUGCUCCUCCGCUGUUGACGACCCUGCAAUUCUUUUUCUGCCAACAUAGAAAGAUGGAACAAGCGUUGUAUAGAAUGAUAUUCUUUAUAAUCAACAAUAUCCUGAAUCUCCCGCCUCAAUCCCCCAUAAAACCUAACCAUUUGAUCCUCCGGAUCCUCAACUACCCCACAUCGUAGCAUACCUUUCUGAAGUUCUUAGUAGUAUUCUUGUACCGACAUGUCUCUCUGAUCUAAGCGUUGCAAUUUUUUUUGAAGAUCACGUCUAUAAGAAGGGGGAACAAAGCGAGCUCGCAUCUCCUCUUUUAACGCAUUCCAUGUUUGUGGUGCAACAAGUGUGUUAACAAGUUCAUUCCACCACAUGAUAGCAAAAUCUCUAAAUUCACUAGUGGCUUGUCUAACCCUAUGCUGCUCAGGAACAAGAUGGGAAUUAAAUUUUUGUUCUACCGUCAUCUCCUAGUCUAAGUAAGCUUCAGCAUCAUAAAAACCCAUGAACGGUGGAAUAGAAAACUUAAUCUUAGCAAAUGGAUCAUGGUCUGGUUCAGGAUUAUGAUGACGCCGCCUACCAUUACCUCCCAUAACUUGUCGAUUACGUGCGAAGCGUUGUGGCAGCGGUGCAUAAACAUCAUCGUCAUCGUCGUCAUCGUCCACAGGAGAGUGAGAUGGGGCUGGAGUUGGUGGUGGGGGACGAGCCUCCAGUACAUCCAUACGUGUAACAAGUUCAUCAACUCGUCGAUCAAGCUGCUCAUAGGAUGUCGAGGCAGAGUCCUGGUAUUUUUUAAAAGCUUCAGUCAUCGCGCACAUCAUCUCCUUCAAUUCCAUCUGAGAGACACACUCAUCGUCGUUAAGUUUAGGCCCCUUGUCCUUGUCCAUUUGAUUCUUUGGUCCUGUCAUUGUUAGCACAAAACAGAGACAAAAAGGCAACAAACAAUGUGAACCCUAUAACUAUCUCUCAGGGUGGUGGUGGAGGUAGUGGAAUACAAAUUAUGAAGCGUCUUACCCCGCUCUUACAAUGUUCUUACCAGCACUGCAGGUGGCAAACGGUGACCGGUGUGACUGUCCAACGAGCGUGGGUGUGAUUGCAAAGGAGUACCUGUUCUGCUCGAGAGAAAAUUGGAGCUAUGGGAAGGCUGACUAAUUAUAUAUAUAUAUAUAUAUAUAUAUAUAUAUAUAUAUAUAUAUAUAUAUAUAUAUAUAUAUAUAUAUAUAUAUAUAUAUAUAUAUAUAUAUAUGGCACACAAGUCAGUAACAGAUAGCAAUGCUGAAUAGCCUAGAAAAUGUAAUAGAACAGUUGAACCAAGGCACAAGAAAGGAGGUACAAGUAUCUAGGUGUAGCAAGAAAAUAGGCUUGGGGCAAAAUAAUCACAGAGGUGCACAGAACACUGGCGUUUCUGUUUAUGUGCUACUCUUUUCUUUUUUUCUCUAUUUUUUGCGAUUUUUUUUCAAAUAUCUUUUUUAUAUUGUUCUCUUUUGCAGCAGCACAUAAGAAGAAAACAUACCAAGUUUCAGAUUUUUUUGUGCAAUGACGCGUCCUCUGGAAUUUCUACAAGUUUGCCCUCAAAUCAAAAUAAAUGUUUGGAAAAUGAGAAGUCCUAUUUCCAAGCCAAAUUUGGGAAUUUUAAAAACAGCGAAUUUGGCAAAGCCGAAAAGAAUCGGAUACAAAAUUUAAUUCUGUGCGAUUUGAAAAAAAAUGGGCCCGAUUCGAGUUCUGAGGCGAAAGUUACGGUUGUUUUAAGUUUGGACUCCGAAUCAGGAUUUCUGGCGAGGUGUUGGAAGGGUGGGAGUUCGGUUUUGUGGAUAGGGUCGGUUUUAGAGAUAUGAUCUAUUUUGUGGAUAGGAUCAGUUGUAGAGAUAUGAUCUAUUUUGUGGAUAGGGUCGGUUUUAGAGAUAGGAUUUGUUUUGUGGAUAUGGUCGGUUUUAGAGAUAGGAUCUGUUUUGUGGAUAUGGUCGGUUUUAGAGAUAGGAUCUGUUUUGUGGAUAGGGUCGGUUUUAGAGAUAGGAUUUGUUUUGUAGAUAGGGUCGGUUUUGUAGGAUGGAAGCGGAUGGAUAGAAUUAAACUGAACCCAAACAAAUCAAAUCCAGCAACCAAACUCAACUAGAACACAAACUCAGAAAUGCGAACUCUAAAACUGAAUUGUGCAAAGGCUAAGGCGAUGGUUUUAGGUCGGAAUAAACUGAUCGUAUUUUUUUGGCUUUUUGUGGACUAUGGGACGAAACAAAACUAAUCUAAAGGUAGAAUUAUACCUCACGGGCAACCUGGAAAUCUGAUACCAAUUGAUAGUAGACGCGGCCCGAUCUUCCGUGAGAUACGAUAACUUGAUUGAGUGGAGAUCUCGACGUUGAUGAUCCAAGGCUCCGAACGAACGGUUCCUCGCAAUCACUACACCACGGCUCCGUUGGUUAUCACCCGUGACACACGAAAGACCUCGCCACGAAGGCUUAUCCCUGCAAGCGCAAUCAAGAACACAAGCAAGAACAGGAAAGAAACGCAACCGAAAUUGUAUUGAUUACGGGAUGGGGUCUCACAAGCCGAUGACGGCGACACUAUUCGAUGACAGAAUUGAUCUAAGCAAAACCCAAACCUAAAUGUGGCGGCGGCUGCUGAAUAAAUAGAGUAUUAGGGCGUGCGUGACCCCUGGACUCGCCCCUAAUGGGCUCCGACGCGAUGCACGGCCCAACGACCCAACAGACGGUGUCGCAGCACCAAAAUAGAAUCUGAACGCUGACUUGUUUCGACGAUUACCGUUGACUCCGGAUGAAUUUUAGGGUGGAACCAGUUGGGUUGGUUAGAUAAUCUCGUUAUCUUUCCAACCAUAUCCAGUCCGUUGCAAUCGAAGUCCGGAUGCAUCUUGGGCGUCCAUUUUAGUGCAGACUGGUCCUGGAACCCGAGAUGGAGUUGCAGCCGACUCGGACUUGAUCUCCUUCCUGUUGUGGACGCCCUUGCUGCUCCUCCUCAACACCUUGGCCUUUCCCAAGUCCUUGCUGGUUCUCUCCAAGGUACCUAAUCAUCAAAACAUCCAUGGCCCCCAAGCGUAAGCUCUGAAACACAAUUGACUAGGGUAGAACGUACCUGGAGAUUUAGCUGUCGUGCACGAGAUCGUGUUAUCGGUCCAUUCAUGGUAUGUAU